rnacentral:rRNA from 1 species
AUGGUGGGUACCACUUUUGAGCUUGAUGAGGACGAUGAUAACCAGGGCACUGUUGUUUCCUUUGUUCCUUAUGAUGCUGCUAUCAAUAUGCGCCAAACUAGCUUUGGGCCUCAAGUCUGGCUACUGUACAUUGGAUUUCCCCAUGAUUAUCAAACAUCUCACUACAUCCAUAAGCCGGUCGAUAAAUUUGGGGCACUAAUCACUUGGAAUAAUCCUAGAGGGGACAGGAAGUUUGUUCUGAUCAAAGCCAGAGUUCUUAGCUUGCGUCGGGUCCCAAAAAGCUUCGUUAUGCAUCAGCUGGGUGGUGAGCACCAUUGCUGGACUGUUUGCAUCAUGAUUCUGCGCAAUAGUGAUUGGAAUGCCCAUAUCCCGGAUGUGCCGCCGGCGGACAUUGAACCACCUCCUGCUGAUGGGAUUCCCCAUCCCCUAUUUGGUGACACUCUCACUGCUGAACAAAUGUACCAAGCCCAGUUGCACAAUUGGCUGGCCCAGAACGCCACGCCAAACACGCCUGAUGCCUCUCCUCAACACAAUGCUCCUCAGGGUCACGAUGUUCACUUCCCAGCGGGAUGGGGUGCAUGGCCACCUUCGCCGCCGCCUGCACUGUAUAACUUUCAGGCUUGGCUGACGGCAGAGGGUCUGCAAGUGCAAGAUGGGAUUUUACCUGCUAAUAAUCUCUAG